rnacentral:rRNA from 1 species
UACGUAGGGAGCAAGCGUUGUCCGGAAUCAUUGGGCGUAAAGCGCGCGUAGGUGGCUUCAUAAGUCCGUUGUGAAAGUCAAAGGCUCAACCUUUGAAAGCCGAUGGAUACUGUGGAGCUAGAGUACGGAAGAGGCGAGUGGAAUUCCGGGUGUAGCGGUGGAAUGCGUAGAGAUCCGGAAGAACACCAGUGGCGAAGGCGGUCUGCUGGGCAGUUGCUGACACUGAUGCGCGACAGCGUGGGGAGCAAACAGG